rnacentral:rRNA from 1 species
UACGGAGGGUGCGAGCGUUAAUCGGAAUAACUGGGCGUAAAGGGUGCGUAGGCGGUGAUGUAAGUGUGUUGUGAAAGCCCUAGGCUUAACCUGGGAACGGCAACACAUACUGCGUUACUGGAGUAGGUGAGAGGGGAGUGGAAUUUCCGGUGUAGCGGUGAAAUGCGUAGAUAUCUGGAGGAACAUCAGUGGCGAAGGCGGCCCC